rnacentral:rRNA from 1 species
CAGCCGCCGCGGUAAUACGUAGGGUGCAAGCGUUAAUCGGAAUUACUUGGCGUAAAGCGUGCGCAGGCGGUUAUAUAAGACAGAUGUGAAAUCCCCGGGCUCAACCUGGGAACUGCAUUUGUGACUGUAUAGCUAGAGUACGGCAGAGGGGGAUGGAAUUCCGCGUGUAGCAGUGAAAUGCGUAGAUAUGCGGAGGAACACCGAUGGCGAAGGCAAUCCCCUGGGCCUGUACUGACGCUUAUGCACGAAAGCGUGGGGAGCAAACAGGAUUAGAUACCCCUGUAGUCCCUGUCUCUUAUAC